rnacentral:rRNA from 1 species
GAUGAACGCUAGCGGCAGGCUUAAUACAUGCAAGUCGUGGGGCAGCAGGUCUGUAGCGAUACAGAUGCUGGCGACCGGCAAACGGGUGCGGAACACGUACACAACUUUCCUUUAAGUGGGGAAUAGCCCAGAGAAAUUUGGAUUAAUACCCCGUAACAUAGUGAAAAGGCAUCUUUUAUUAUUAUAGCAGCAAUGCGCUUAAUGAUGGGUGUGCGUCUGAUUAGGUAGUUGGCGGAGUAAUAGCCCACCAAGCCUACGAUCAGUAACUGGUGUGAGAGCACGACCAGUCACACGGGCACUGAGACACGGGCCCGACUCCUACGGGAGGCAGCAGUAAGGAAUAUUGGGCAAUGGACGCAAGUCUGACCCAGCCAUGCCGCGUGGAGGAUGAAGGUCCUCUGGAUUGUAAACUUCUUUUACCUGGGAAGAAAUCCAUCUUUUCUUGGGUGGUUGACGGUACCAGAUGAAUAAGCACCGGCUAACUCCGUGCCAGCCGCCGCAGUAAGAC